AGUGAACGCUGGCGGUAUGCCUAACACAUGCAAGUCGAACGGCAGCACAGUAAGAGCUUGCUCUUACGGUGGGCGAGUGGCGGACGGGUGAUGAAUACAUCGGAAUCUACUUUUUCGUGGGGGAUAACGUAGGGAAACGUACGCUAAUACCUCAUACGACCUACGGGUGAAAGCAGUGUAUCUUCGGACCUUGCGCGAUUGAAUGAGCCGAUGUCGGAUUAGCUAGUUGGCGGGGUAAAGGCCCACCAAGGCGACGAUCCGUAGCUGGUCUGAGAGGAUGAUCAGCCACACUGGAACUGAGACACGGUCCAGACUCCUACGGGAGGCAGCAGUGGGGAAUAUUGGACAAUGGGCGCAAGCCUGAUCCAGCCAUACCGCGUGGGUGAAGAAGGCCUUCGGGUUGUAAAGCCCUUUUGUUGGGAAAGAAAAGCAGCAGGUUAAUACCCCGCUGUUCUGACGGUACCCAAAGAAUAAGCACCGGCUAACUUCGUG
rnacentral:rRNA from 1 species